rnacentral:rRNA from 1 species
GGGUCAGUAGGUUGGUCGUGCCACCGGUACGUACUGGUCUCACUGAUUCCUCCUUCCUGAAGAACCGUAAUGCCAUUAAUUUGGUGUUGCGGGGAAACAGGACUGUUACUUUGAAAAAAUUAGAGUGUUUAAAGCAAGCUAACGCUUGAAUACAUUAGCAUGGAUUAAUGAAAUAGGACGAUCGAUCCUAUUUUGUUGGUUUCUAGGAUUGACGUA